GACGAACGCUGGCGGCGUGCCUAAUACAUGCAAGUAGAACGCUGAAGGAGGAGCUUGCUCUUCUGGAUGAGUUGCGAACGGGUGAGUAACGCGUAGGUAACCUGCCUGGUAGCGGGGGAUAACUAUUGGAAACGAUAGCUAAUACCGCAUAACAGUAGAUGUUGCAUGACAUUUACUUAAAAGGUGCAAUUGCAUCACUACCAGAUGGACCUGCGUUGUAUUAGCUAGUUGGUGGGGUAACGGCUCACCAAGGCGACGAUACAUAGCCGACCUGGGAGGGGGGUCGGCCACACUGGGACUGGGACACGGCCCAGACUACUACGGGAGGCAGCCGUAGGGAAUCUUCGGCAAUGGACGGAAGUCUGACCGAGCAACGCCGCGUGAGUGAAGAAGGUUUUCGGAUCGUAAAGCUCUGUUGUAAGGGAAGAACGAGUGUGAGAGUGGAAAGUUCACACUGUGACGGUAUCUUACCAGAAAGGGACGGCUAACUACGUG
rnacentral:rRNA from 1 species